CGAAGACACGUCUUUGAUCUCCAAUUCUCUGUUUGCAAAUCCCUUCAUAAUCUUCCCUUUCCAAUCCAAUUUUUUCAACUACAAGAAUCUCCUCAAGAAAGAAUCCAAGAGUUCCAUUCCAAUGGGAUCCUACGGCCAAGAAGUGGUUCUAAUCACUGGGUGCAGCCAGGGAGGCAUAGGCCACGCACUGGCGAAGGAGUUUGCAGCCAACAACUGCCUAGUUGUGGCCACAAGCAGGUCCUUAAACUCCAUGAGAGACCUUGAUCAAGACCAUAGAUUCUAUCUCCAAGAACUUAAUGUUUUGUCAGAGGAGAGUAUCCAGCAUGUAAUGUCAAAUGUUCUUGAGAAGUUUGGGAGAGUCGAUAUUUUGGUUAACAAUUCUGGGAUUCAAUGCGUGGCCCCUCUUGCU
rnacentral:misc_RNA from 1 species